UUCAGCCGCCGCCGCCUCACGCCGCGCUCUCAAUUAGCCCCAUCGUUUCCUGCCGACGCUACCGCUGUCUGCCGCCAUGACAGCACCCGGCCGCCGGAGCGCCGCCGGCCGAGGAGCCCUGCGCCUGCGCGGCCGUGCGCGGGCGGGGCGGGCUGCUGGCGCGCGGGGCGGGAACCGCCGGCUCGCGCACGCCCAGGUGCGCUCAGGUGCGCCAGGUGAGCGGGGGGCGCGCGCCACGUCCCGCCUCGCCGUGAGGAGAGCGCUGCGGGCGCUGCCCCCGUAGUUCUGUCAGCUCCGCGCGUGUCACCCCAGUCCGUUCCGGGCUCUAUUUUGUUGUCCGUUCCUCUGACCUUUGAGCGUCUUUCACGAAGAACCGACCAGCGAGCUCUUCUUGAGUUAGCCCUGCCAUGGUCAGCUUGGACCUUUUGGCCGCGUUUUUUCUUGAUCGGCUUAAAGAGUUCUUCUCGUUCUCUUCAGAAAUUCACGAUUUCUUGUAUUCUGAAGCUGUCAUUCCUCUCAUGUAAAACGAAGUUUUGCAGGCAAACUUGAAUUCACUUCAUCUCAUCUAGAAAUAGGAAUCAAAUCAAAGCAAAGUACUUCUACUAGAAUCACAAUACAUUCAUUGCCCUUUUUGGAGCCUUCUGAGGAAAAGAAAAAUGCAUUAAGUGGCACCAGAACCUUUCUGCUUUUUACAUUAGCUUAUUAUUUCACAACAAUGUUAACAACACAAAUGUAACACACCUGUAAUUAAGUUUGAUCGUAGGUCACUUGAUUGCUCUCACUUAAGCACUGUCAGUCUCAACACUUCAGUGGCAUAAAGACAUACACGGCCUAUGGUGAUGAACUAACUUCAUCGCUAACGUUCAGCUCUGUCGAGCUCCAGGCCAUGCAUUACUCCUCCAUGUGCCGUGCUUUUUGGUCAAGCCCAUCUCCGUACAGGUGAUGUGUGGGCAAAUAUGGCAGGGAAGGAAUAGGUUGAAAAGGAAAUGUCCAGUUAUUCUGGGAGUCAAAAUACUGACAAAGAAAAGAAUUUGAUUCCUGAGUAUUUCAAAGCCACUUCCACAAUUUUCUUCAGUAAUUUUAGGAUUAUAUUCUGUCUUCCUGGAGAGCUCCAGUGACUACAAUUCUUAAGGUAUCACAGCAAGAUGAUAGCAUCAAAGAUCCUGCCUUUGGAAAUCAUUUCAGGGAGGCAGAUAAAGAAAUGCUUCUUGCCUGGCCUCAGUUGUUAAAGACAGUGGGGGAUAUGCAUAAGUAAGUGCAUAAAAGAAUAUCUAAGAUGGGGAAUUCAGUGUAGCAGCUGAAAAGUAGAUCCACUGCCAGCUCUGUUGCAUCUGUUGCAAGAAAAGUGACUUUUGGCAGUUAGAGUCUGCUGGAACAAAAUACUUUGCCUUUAGGCAAAAGGAAGUAAUCAUUUUAUAACUUUUUAUGACAAAAUGCUCUUUGAUCUUAAGCAUUAAGAACUGCUUUAAAAAUCCACAGCUAGAAAUUAAACUCCAAAUAAAAAAAAGCUGCUUAUAAAUACUGUUGACCUUAAACACGAGGUCCUUUCUGCUUUCACAGAACACAAUACUUCAAGAGAGCAAUAUAAUCCCAAAAUAAAGAUUAGCCUUGCCAAAAGAGGAAGUUUUCUUCCUGUUAGCUGUGAUUCUUUUUUUUUUUCCAAUAUGUGUUAGAGGUUGUUCUGUUUUGUGCAGUUAUUAUUUUUAUUCUUACUGUAGUGCAUUUUUAUAAUGCAACUUUUAACAUGGAAUGUUGUCAACUUUUCUCUAGAAUGGUAAUAAGUUUUUUUCUCCUUUUUCUAUUACAUGUUCUUGAUUGCUGGAUUGCUACUAUCAUUGUUUUUAAGUAGCAUGGAAUUAAUAGAUGAUGCUUAAUGAGUCUCACAUCGAUCCUAUUAGAAAAUAAAUUUCCAUUUUCUCAGGAAAUUAUGGUACCACUGAGCUAAAGCAGCUGCUUUACCUUAUUUCUUCUGUUCCUUUUGCUUUAGAAAGGUUCAUAAGAGUGUCAGGGCAAUUCCUUACAAGCUGUGACCGGAAAUACCUCAUCACAGGAAAUGUGAACUUCUAGUAGAGUAAAUGGUGAAUUAACUUGUGAAACAACUAAUUGUCCACUUUUUUAAUGAGUAUUACUUAGUUCUUUUAAGUCAUAUGCCCUUAGCACGUUAGCCUUCCUUCCACCCUUCCCCCCCGAUCUUUUAUACAAAUAAAACCAUAUUUGUUGGUGUGAAAGCCCUCUUAAGAAUCCGCUUUUCAGUACCACUGACAAAACAAUGUUUAUGUUUUCUGCUUUGAUGGUAAAAUCUACACCUGAUUAGUUUGGGCAAAACUUAGACAUAGACAUAAAGCAUUACCAUAUAGGAAGUAGAAGGCUCUUCCCUACAGCUGUAUUCACUGAAACCUGAGUUUAUACGGUGCAUUUAUUGGAAUAGAUAGCUGUAUGCUUGGAGAGCGUGCUGGAGGGAAUUGGCCUUGAGUCUGUGCUCAGUGCUUUGCUAUGCUGGACUGCGGCUGCCUCUGAGCUUGCAAGAGCAGCUGCUCCCAGCCUAGCAGGAGCUGUAGCAACCCAUUUAGUUACACCUGGCUUGUGCUGCAGCAGCAUUUUUCACACACUAUUCAAACUCCCCAGCCAAGCCUGGUUUUGCUGCUUAGGUGAGAGCCAAGCACAGAGCCCAAAAGAAACAAAAGACCUAGAAACAGCUCCAUAUUAGAGUUCUGAGAGGGAUUACGAGAGGUUUUCUGCGUAAAACUCCAGUAUGAUCUCAGAGGAUGUUUGAAAAUCCCCUACAAAUUACUUCUCACAGGAGCUGGAUUUGGAGGCUAUUUUAAUACAAAACAGGAAUCGAUGGCAAGAAGUUGUACAGGUAGACAGACAUUCCCUGCCUGAGCAGUAAAGUCAGAACAGUAAAGAAUCAAGGGAAUCAGUGAGUUUUAGGCAAUGAAUGAAAACAGAAAUAAGACUGCAGCAUUUACCAGGCUCUUCCAAAACACAGUUUCUUUCAUUAUUAUCAUAACAGCCUAUCAUAAUGUACUGAGGAACAUUUACUUACUUUAAGAAAUCACAAUAAACUAAAAGUGAUGGAGGAUUGUCUGGAUAGAUUAGCUAUGGCAUUUUGCUUAUCAAGAGAUUUACACAAACCAGACCACUUUGCAGAGCAGCUAGACUGCUGGAAGACAGUUGUUGCGGAUGGUUACUGUCUUCUCCCAGAUACAAUCCUUUCACAUAAUCCUUUCCAUAUUAACCCCAUACAUCUUAUCCUCACUGUAUUUAUGAAACCAGAGAUCCGUCACUGAAGCAGUGAGAACCAACAAAAGCCAAAGAAAUUUACCUACCCUUAGCUCAAAUUGCUGUGAGCGUUUAGCUAACACUGGGGAAGAUGAGAGCUCUGAAGAGAAUCUGGAACCUAGCAGCAGGGGUUGGCUAUGAUAUUAGAACAGGGUUAAAUUUUGAAUGAACUUCAGAAAUUAGUUGAACAAGAGUGGAUUUAAACAAUCUUGAAAGCAUUAUGCCCAUCUUGCCUUGCAACACUUGCUACACUAACAUAGAUUGAUAAGCAGUUUUACUGACACUACUGUUGGAAAUGCCAGUACAGGACACAGAGCCAAUCGUGGCUAUUACCUAGAUGAAUACCACGUGUGAAAUUUGUUUUGUUUAUGUUUAUAAGGGGGUGAACUGUGGGACAAGUUGAUUGAGUUGCAUAGUGACUUAAAUACAUCAAAUUCUCACCUCAAAGCGUCAAUUAUAACAUUACAAGUAAAACGUAGAACAAGACACGUCUGCAGCUGGCAGCCACCUACUCACACACGUAAGAGAUAAGCCGAUCCAUUUCUGGUAAUGAAGAUCAGCCACUGUUACAGAAACUAUUAAUUCGUCUCCCAGCAGAUGAGCAAAAUUUUGUCUGCGAUAUGGCAGCACCCAAAAGACUUGCAAAAACUCUGAGCCAAACUCUGAUGCGCUGCAGACGCACUGUCACGAUUGACCAUCUCAAACUCUUUUUCCAUUACUGUUGUCUACUGCAGAGUUUCACAUAGGUUCUUAAGGAUGGUGUCACUGUCCCUGAAUUACAAUCCUGGUAGAUUCACAAAGACACUGAGGAUCCAGAGGAUUUUUCAAAGUUUAGUUUAGGGCUUCUCAUAAGUCCUAAUUUUAGAUAGAAGUCUUCUAGAGGAACCGUUUCUGGGAGACUCUGGUUUUCAAAUUCAUGUCUGGAAGGUACAGACAUAUUCAGUAGGAUUAUUUUAAUCAAAGACCUGCAUCAGAUGAAGGAGCUAUACACUUCAGAACACUGACAAAUGCCAAAGGAAAUAGCAGACAGUAAAAGGAGAGGAAAAAAAUAGGGGGUUAGCAAUGCAUGUCUUAUUUUCUUCAUUUCCGCUCCAUUUAGGAAUGGUCAUUUCUCAGAUGGGAGAAGAAAUGAAAUGGGGGAAUGUUGCAGAAAAAAAUCAUACAGCUUUUAUUAUCUAACAGCUGAGUAGGCACUGGAAAUCAGAGCUUCACAAGUGGUCACACAUGCCAGCAGUCACACAGAUUACUGCUGAGUAAUAUAAUGGCCAGGAAAGAGCCAAGAGCUGCUACUGCAAUUGUGGCUUUUAAGAAUAACUUUGGAUAUUACACUUCUUCUCAGACUUGGCCAGAGGUCUCAGCAAGUCCUCCUUCAAGUUAACACUGUUUAUAUGAUCCACUUCCAGAUACCUCAUGUAUAGCAGAAAAGGUUAACAAUCCAAAUGCUACACCUGGGGUAAAAUCAUAAAAUCCAAGAAAGGAAGAAAAACUUUUUAGUAGCUGAUGUUGCACUAAGAUUUUAUUAUUAAGACUCCUGCCUUUACCUUCUAAUUUUUUUUAAUUACUCUGUCAAAUUCAUCACUAAUGGGUUCCCUUGAUUAUAUAAAAAAAUAGCUUUCUUCUUCAUGCUUCCAUUUCUUUGUUAUGUUCUUAUGAGCCUGCAAAUCUGUAAGCACUUUUUGCCAUUUGCAGCCCAAAGUGGGGAGGUCAGGAUGUUUAUAUAUCAUUCUGUGUUUUAGUUUUGAUUAUUGCCACUUAAGCAUAAUUACAACAUCCAUCCAGUUAAAAGUUCAGUUUCACUGGAAAUUGCUUUUUUUUUCAGUGAACCACUGCUAAUCAAAAAUGUAUGAGCAAUGCUUUCAUAAGUAAAAAAAGGUAAAAUACUCUCAUAAGUAAAGUAAAAUAAAAAAUGGAGAGUGAACAACUUUCUGUUCUAACAUGGCCAUCUGUCAUUUAUAAAGACAUCACCCCAUUAACCUGUCUAAUCAACUCCAUUCUUUUUUCAAAGUUGGUUAAGUAAGUUUAUGAGGAGACGUAGAUGUUCUCUUGAUUAAAUCUGUUGUAAAACGGCCUCCCUGGUGUUCUGCUUUGUGUGCAUUUACACAUAUAGAGGUAAUUACACGUACAUAUCACUACUGUAAAUUCCAUGCCUGUCAUAUUACAGUACAUGACAUUUUCAUUUCCUACUGGUGAAAAUGAAAUCCGAUAUUUUCUGUUCAAGCAAUAAUGACCAAUUAGAAUUUGUUAUUAUUAAUGUUUGUCCUAAAAUGCUCCAAGGCAUGAGGUGGUUUCCUCCAAGGCAGUUGAAUUUAUAACGUGGAAAAAAGGGGUUUGAAAUGUUGCUACAGCACCUUCAGCCAUUCACUCUCAAGACUGGUUAUUCCUGCAAAAAAAGUAGAUCUCCCUGGAAAACCCACAAUGUAUGCAGGAAUGUUACUCGGUUCGUGUUUAGAGAGCUGAAAUAACUGCUUCUCCUCAGCAGAAAUGUCUCAAGCCUACCUCCGACCUUUCCCUGAUGUUUUGUUUUUAUCUCAGGGAUCAGUGCUUAAUUCUCUUACAGGUGAACGUAGCGUUGCAUAAGUCUGAGUUAAACAAGUUGCAUUGGUUUCUUAAGUGAUUUGGUCAACUGUCUUCAUUGGGGGGGUAUCUUCAGGGUCUUUGGAUUGUACCAGGAACAGGAAAACUCGUUCAAACUCACCUGUUGAAGAACUGCCCAAAGAAUGAAUACAGAUAACUAUGCUAUAUAUAGGAACCAGAGUAGGAAGGCUUUCAUAAAAUGAAGUCAACAUUUAUAUACGUAGCUGAAAUACUGAAUAGGUUUUAAAAGCAUUACCAGUCACUUUAGAAAUUUUCAAAUAAGUCAUAUUUGACGACCAUUUUAUCUACUCCAAUUUCAACAAAUGGGUACAUAUGUUUACUGCCUGAUUCUUAUUUAAAAUGUGUUCUCAAAUCUGGAGAUGAGUAGAUUGAUGCAUACGGAGAUAUUUUUGUAACUACCCUUCACUGGUGAUGGACAGUACUCUUGUUUUUAUAAGAGUACUGAGCACAUGGGUUGAGACUCAAAUCUCUUCACAUUACACAUGAAGUUCUCCUUCUACAAACUCCCCUCUGCUGGAGAGGCAGGCAAGGCAAUCUACAAACAUACAAAUAUACAAACCCACAUUCCAUGUAAUAUAUGGAGACAGAAGCGGUUACAAAAGAGCAAGCACUUGGAAGCACGUCAGGACACAUCACAGGUUGGAAAGCAGAUGACAACUCUCGGAGUGACCCAUUUGGAAGAUGGCAAUGGAUCUGUCAUUGAAGGAGGUUCAGCAUCCCAUGAAGGAUGCUUGCAAAGAAUCUAUUGGGAUUAUUACAACUCAGUGAAUGACCAGCAGAUCUCUUGGCAGAUCACAGAGUAAUAGAAAUCCAUGGACAGCUUAUGAAAUAUUCAUACAAAAAAUAAAGACCUGUAACCCUUUCUCAAGCACAAAGGCUGAAGAACAGAAUUUUUUUCAGGCUCUGGUUGGCCACUUCUUCCUCUUGCCCAGUUCAUAAGUACAUGUGGCAUAGUCACAGACAUGAAGUGGCAAAUGAUUCAUCUACUUUUUUUCUUGAAGAAAACUGGCACUUCAAAAAAUAAGGAAUAAGCUUAUGUCACAUUUACAGUCUGAAAGCAGCUCAUAUAGUAUCAUAUGGUAGCCAGUAGUGGUAACAGAGUAGAACGAAGCAGCAAAGGCAGACUACAACCACUGAACUUCAGCUUGCUCGGGGAGCUAACAGGCAGGAUCCCAUGGGAGGGUGACCAGCAGGGGCCACACAGAGCUGCUCAGUCUUCUGCAUAGAACCAUAGAGUCAUUCAGGCCAGCUGCAGGACCCUGCCUGUGUGAGUUUUGAUCACCUUAACAGAAACUGUGGGUAAUUUUAACUUAAACAUAUGAAUUAAACCCAAUUUAAACUUAA